AAAAUAUGUCGGGGACAAUAUAUGACUUCUAAUCAUGUUUUGAGCCGUUCAACUCAGCUCAUAUUUUU
rnacentral:tRNA from 2 species